UAUUUGUUUACCCCAUAAUUUUUUUUUUUUAAAGCAUCUCCCAAGUUCCAAGGCUGGACACUGGGAAUACUGAGAUAAAUUUCCAUUCACUUAACAAACACGCAUAUAAAACUACGUGCCAGACACUGUUCUAAGCGCUUUAUAAACACAAUCUCAUUUAAUCCUCCCAAGAACCCUGAAAGUGGGUUUUUCUAGCUCCAGUUUAUAAACAAGAAGGCUGAAACGCCAACAGAUGCAGGAACGUUCCCAGGGUCACAGAGCUACUAAAAUGUGACUACCUAAGGUUCGAACCGGGUCUGACCUGUUUUCCUUCCUCUGCUCCACGUGGUUUGGUUGGAGGUGAGAAAAGGGAAGUAAGGAGAACUGAACCAGAGCACCUCACGGCUGAACUCUCCUGCCGGGUCUCUCCAGCACAUUCCGCCCCCAUCUCUCCAGUGAGAAACCCCAGAGCACCGCCUCUGUGCCAGCUCCCAGCUCCUGGUGGGGCCCUGGGCACAACGCGGCGCCCCCGCCCACUGGGAGCACCCAUCUCACUGAGCAGCAAACAGUGGACCAUCGAGAGGAAGCUGCGGGGGCGGAGGCCAGGGGAGCCUGGGAAGCCGGAAGCCCAGGGCCAAGGUCAGCGGAGACUUGGGGCAGAGCGGAUGCAGGAAUCCUCUUCCUCCCUGCUGUCCACACUGCAGAGCCCAGCUGAAACACCCCCUCCUUCAGGACAUCUGGGUCCUUCAGGACACGCUGAGCUGCACUCAUUCAACCGAUACUGCUUGAGGCGAGAAGGGCGAAGCAGCCACGCCCUGCAGUUUAAGGCUGCUCCCUUCCAAGAGGGCUCUUUGGACACAUUUUGGCCAGCAACCCAUCUUAGAGGGCAUGUGUAUGUGUGUGUGUGUGUUCUCGCUCUUAAGAAUGUUCCCAAGUUUCUUUCAAGAAGUAGCCAAGUUUCAUGAUUAAGAACCUAGCCUCUGGAAUCAGAUGUUCUCAUUGGAACACUGAGUCCAUCUCUGCGUAAUCCUGAGCAAGCUAAUUCGCCUCUUAAGGGGUCUGUUUGUCACAUUCAAACAAGAGUUACUGGAGAAGGCUGUGUGGAUUAGAUGAACCCAAGGCAAUUUCUUAGCCCAGCUCCUGGCUGUUGGUGUCUUCAUGAACAAGAAUGGUCUCUACUGCCAGUCCCAGUGGCCCACGUGUCAGAGAGUCCCUGUGCUUAGCAGGUACUUUGCAAAUGCUUCAGGCUUGACUGCUCUUUGGCAAAGAAUGGACGGUAGGUAUAUGUGGCCUUUUAAAAUGUGGAGAAAAUAUUUGUGACGUGAAAUUUGCCAUGUGAGCCAUUUUUAAGUGUAUAGUUCAAUGGCCUCAUGUUGUAGGAUGCGCCUGAAUAUUUUCCUUUUUGAGGACAAAUAACAUCCCGUCAUACGGACAUGUCACAAUUUGUUUAUCCAUUCAUCAGCUGAAAGACAGGUGGGCUGCUUCUGGCUAUUGUGGAUAGUGUUGCAAUAAGCACCGGCUGCAAGUGUUCAAGUCCCUGCUUUGGGGUCUUUGGGGUCUAUUGUGACAAGAGGAACAACUGGAUCAUUCAGUUACUUGUAUGUUGCAUUUUUUUGAGGAACCACCACACUCUUUCCCACAGCAGCUGCACCAUCUCGCCUUCCCACCAGCAAGGCCACAUGUCUUGAAGGAAGAGUUAAAAGGGUGUGAGAUGGACCCCCAGGGUACCUGGCACCUCCUGCCGAGACUCCCCUCAAAGCAAUGGAAGCAGGGUGGUGACAAACUGUGCCAAGCCCAGAGGAGGUGCUGCCAGCGCGGAGGGGAGAUGGCGUGGAAGGCCCAGGGUGUGGGGUCUGGGGAGAAGCCCCUGGAGGGGUGAUGGCUGCCCCAGUGUGUCCCCCACUCUGCCCGGGGGCAGAGCGGGCAGCCAGGGUGGAGUUGAGUCAGGGUGUUCCAAAGAGACUA
ensembl:lncRNA